CGGGAGAGAAGAUGGACAAAAGUCCCCAGGACCGCCUCUCCCACAUCAGGUCAGAAGGAAGCCCCACGCUUCUCCACCUGCAGAAGGGCUGGUUGUGGAAGCACUCUGAGUUGAGCUUCAGGAAUAACUGUCCAAACCAAUUCAAUACAACUGGGUCACCACGGCAACGCACACCUUUUGUGCAACAGAAAACCUCCUCCAAGCUAUGUAGCUGCCAUUAUAGCUUCUGGUUUAGGAGCCGCACUGCCACUGCUGUGAUCAGAAAUCUGCCUUCAUUAGGAAACCACCAGCACCAGGAAAUCUCCAUUGCAGCAGUUACCUCCUGAAAUCCACACCCUCAAGAUGGAGGGUCCAUGCCCUCCCUUGACUCCUCCAAGGCUAUGUGGUGGUCACACACUGGGACCUCUGUUAACCCUGUUGAAAUGUCCCAUGACUCCCCAGGAGAAACAGCAGAGCAUCAGAAGGAAAUUUGGAACCAAGCAAGUGCAUCCUGAGAACCUAAAUUACACUUAGAGCUCUGCUUCCGGGAAGCCUGAGAAAAAAGAGUGUGUGGUGUUCCACCUCUCUGGAAGAGGAAGCUACACGAAAAAGACCUUGGAAUGGCUACGGUGCUGGAGCACCGAUCCACUGCAUACUCCGCCUUUGGCCAUUAAACAUUCAUAGGCAUUCUGCUUCCUAAAUUGAGCUUCCAUAAACACACAGGUCCUCACUAACAUUCAAACACAUUUGCCCACUCCCCAAGGGGAGACCCACACUUCGCAAUAUCCAUGACUGGGUAAUGUUUAGUUUUUUUCCUUUUAACCUAGUCACAGCCCGUUUUUGAUGUCCUACAACCCGUGGACUGAAGGAGAGUUCAUUGUGAUUCCAAAUCCCUUCAUAGAACAGUAGGGGGAAGGAGGAAAGAGUAAAACAAAAGUUAUUAAUAGAUGUAAGUAAUAGAAAGGAAAAAUAAAG
rnacentral:lncRNA from 1 species